UUUUGAAAAACGACGCUUUUCCAUCGUUAUUUCUUCCAAAACAGAAGACUACUGAUUCAGAGGAGCAGGAAGAAAGGACGAAAAGGCUGCAGAAAAGAAUUAAUAAGUCAGUCGUUAACGAAAUAUUAGAAGGGAUUAGAGAGCCUCUCGAAGAAGACGUUUUAGAUGAGCGUACUACGUGCCAAUAUUCAACGUACGCUCUAAAGGAUGAAUUGGAACAAACCCAAGCAUUAUUAAAUCAAGUAAAAGAAAAAUUUGCGAGGACAGAACAUGAAAACACAUGUCUUAAAGAGGAAAAUGCGAAGCUUAAAGAUGAACUAAAGAAAACAAAUAUAGAGAAAAAUGAUUUGGAGACCAAGAUAAGAAAUAUAUUUACCGAUGGACAGAUUAAAAAAUUGAAAAAUCCAGAAAAAGAAGUUAAAUGGUGUG